rnacentral:rRNA from 1 species
AUACGGAGGGUGCAAGCGUUAAUCAGAAUCACUGGGCGUAAAGCGCGCGUAGGCCGCCUUCUAAGUCGGACGUGAAAGCCCUCGGCUCAACCGAGGAACUGCGUUCGAAACUGGGAGGCUUGAGUCCUGGAGAGGGUGGCGGAAUUCCGGGUGUAGGAGUGAAAUCCGUAGAUAUCCGGAGGAACACCGGUGGCGAAGGCGGUCUUUCUGGACAGUAACUGACGCUGAGGCG